rnacentral:rRNA from 1 species
UGGGGAAUAUUGGACAAUGGGCGCAAGCCUGAUCCAGCCAUGCCGCGUGAGUGAUGAAGGCCCUAGGGUUGUAAAGCUCUUUUGUGCGGGAAGAUAAUGACGGUACCGCAAGAAUAAGCCCCGGCUAACUUCGUGCCAGCAGCCGCGGUAAUACGAAGGGGGUUAGCGUUGCUCGGAAUCACUGGGCGUAAAGGGUGCGUAGGCGGGUCUUUAAGUCAGAGGUGAAAGCCUGGAGCUCAACUCCAGAACUGCCUUUGAUACUGAGGAUCUCGAGUUCGGGAGAGNUGAGUGGAACUGCGAGUGUAGAGGUGAAAUUCGUAGAUAUUCGCAAGAACACCAGUGGCGAAGGCGGCUCACUGGCCCGAUACUGACGCUGAGGCACGAAAGCGUGGGGAGCAAACA